rnacentral:rRNA from 1 species
ACUAAAUAGAUACCCAGGUAGUCCACGCCCUAAACGAUGUCUACUAGUUGUCGGGUCUUAAUUGACUUGGUAAACGCAGCUAAACGCGUGAAGUAGACCGCCUGGGGAGUACGGUCGCAAGAUUAAAACUCAAAGGAAUUGACGGGGACCCGCACAAGCGGUGGAUGAUGUGGAUUGAUUCGAUGCAACGCGAAAAACCUUAACCUACCCUUGACAUGGAUGGAAUCCCUGAGAGAUUGGGGUAGUGCCCGAAACGGGAACCGAUUACACAGGUGCUGCAUGGCUGUCGUCAGCUCGUGUCGUGAGAUGUCGGGUUAAGUCCCGCAACGAGCGCAACCCUUGUCAUUAGUUGCUACGAAAGGGCACUCUAAUGAGACUGCCGGUGACAAACCGGAGGAAGGUGGGGAUGACGUCAAGUCCUCAUGGCCCUUAUGGGUAGGGCUUCACACGUCAUACAAUGGUACAUACAGAGGGCCGCCAACCCGGCGAGGGGGAGCUAAUCCCAGAAAGUGUAUCGUAGUCCGGAUUGUAGUCUGCAACUCG